rnacentral:lncRNA from 1 species
UACUACAUUCAUAAGUUGUACCUUACCCACAUAAACAACAGACUGUCACAAUCCUUACAAAUAAACAACAGAUUGGCAUGAUAAAUUUACAACAUUGAUUUUCCUUCCAUAUAAAAGCAAAAAUCCACCACUAAUCAAACUUGCCCCUUGCCUUUGGUGUUCCAUUUGGUGCUUGGUUUUCCCGUACGGAUUGUCACGUUCAUAGAAAUGUGGAGUUUGCGUUCAUCGUUAAUCCGAACUUGAGACUGAAACAUGCGGGAGAUAUCGUCAACUGAUUCGAUCGGAUUGGACUUAGGCAACAUAGCACCAAUGUUCUUGGCUUCGCCACUUGAUUCCCCUUCUUUGCACCACUCCCAGAAACCACAUUUAUGACCGCAACAUUUGAAGAAUUUACCUUUAUUAGCUGUAGCUCGUUCUACCUCAAAACACUUUUGGAAACCUUAGUUACACGUUGGGCAUCGAACUUUUAUCGGGCAUUCGGCAAAGAAAUGGGCUUACUCCUGCAUUCUGUCAUAGGAUUCACACGCCAACAACAAAAAGUUAAAUGAUAAAUGUGAAGAUGACCACUCAUUCCGAACACUUGCUCUACUACAAUGGCAUCACCAAAUACAACCUUAAUGCAACUUUUUGACAAGGAUAUAGAGCAGCACUUCGGGUGUUUUAGAGUGCUUACACUCUAUGCUAGAUGUCUCUUUAGCAGGGUAAAUUUUAUUUGUUGGCAUCACGGUAUUAUGUAACAUGUUAUCCCCCCAAACUAACGGAUGUCUCUACAAUGGAACAUGUUUAGGUGAAGGUGAACAUCUUGGAAUUGUUCCAAAGCACAAAAGUUUCUAGCAUUAAAUUUCUUCAAUUUUGUUUCAAAAAUCCCAGCAGUUCAAGAAAAUUCUAGUUAGGUUCAGCAAACCAAUUUUUCGCAAAAGUACCAAAAAAAUCUAGAUUAAAUUCCGAAAUAAUCCCAAAACUUCAAGAAAAUUAUGGUGGAAUUUAAUACUCGAGUUUUGUGCAAAUCUACCAAAGAUGUCUAUGCAUUGAAGAUUAUUACUAUUAUCAACCGACCCAGAUUUUAUUUGAGAAGGACAAUAUACACUCCCCAUGCUUGUGUGUAGAGAAGAAAACCCUAGGAUUCAAUACUGCUACUAUAUUUCACGCACAUCAAAUGGCAUACACCUUCAAGUUGUUUAAAUCACGUACCUUACUAUCUAGCCAAUGUGAGAUUUGGUGGAAUUUAAUAUUGCUACGAGGCUUGAUGAAAGUCCCGCCCGACGAGUUCGAGAUGUGGCUGUAGGCAGGAGAUGGUGGCAGAUUUGUAGAUGGCAAGAGGUGAUGUGUGCAUUGGGUUUCGAAAAUCACGUUUCGAAUGGCUUCGUCGUCUUCAAAUUUGGAGAGAAAAUGGAGGUUGGGUUUUUCCCUUUUCUUUCAGCUUUUGGUAAGAAA